UGGUCUGAGAGGACGACCAGCCACACUGGGACUGAGACACGGCCCAGACUCCUACGGGAGGCAGCAGUGGGGAAUCUUAGACAAUGGGCGCAAGCCUGAUCUAGCCAUGCCGCGUGUGUGAUGAAGGUCUUAGGAUCGUAAAGCACUUUCGCCAGGGAUGAUAAUGACAGUACCUGGUAAAGAAACCCCGGCUAACUCCGUGCCAGCAGCCGCGGUAAUAC
rnacentral:rRNA from 17 species